GCAACUAUGGUCGAGUGGUCUAAGACGCAGCACUUAAGAUGCUGUAGCGAAAGCUGCGUGGGUUCAAACCCCACUGGUUGCA